AUUGAACGCUGGCGGAAUGCUUUACACAUGCAAGUCGAACGGUAGAGGGGGCAACCCCUUGAGAGUGGCGAACGGGUGAGUAAUAUAUCGGAACGUGCCCAGUCAUGGGGGAUAACGUAGCGAAAGUUACGCUAAUACCGCAUACGAUCUAAGGAUGAAAGCGGGGGACUCGCAAGAGCCUCGCGCGAUUGGAGCGGCCGAUAUCAGAUUAGGUAGUUGGUGGGGUAAAGGCUCACCAAGCCAACGAUCUGUAGCUGGUCUGAGAGGACGACCAGCCACACUGGAACUGAGACACGGUCCAGACUCCUACGGGAGGCAGCAGUGGGGAAUUUUGGACAAUGGACGCAAGUCUGAUCCAGCCAUUCCGCGUGCAGGAUGAAGGCCCCUCGGGUUGUAAACUGCUUUUGUACGGAACGAAAAGGUUUCUAUUAAUACUAGGAGCUCAUGACGGUACCGUAAGAAUAAGCACCGGCUAACUACGUG
rnacentral:rRNA from 1 species